GCGGAGGCAGGGCGGGCGUAUUCAAUGGAAGUAUGUUACCAGCUGCCGGUGCUGCCCCUGGACAGGCCGGUCCCCCAGCACGUCCUCAGCCGCCGAGGAGCCAUCAGCUUCAGCUCCAGCUCCGCGCUCUUCGGCUGUCCCAAUCCCCGGCAGCUCUCACAGAGGCGUGGAGCUAUUUCUUAUGACAGUUCUGAUCAGACUGCACUGUACAUUCGUAUGCUAGGAGAUGUACGAGUAAGGAGCCGAGCAGGAUUUGAAUCAGAAAGAAGAGGUUCUCAUCCAUAUAUUGAUUUUCGUAUUUUUCACUCUCAAUCUGAAUUUGAAGUGUCUGUCUCUGCAAGGAAUAUUAGGCGGUUACUAAGUUUCCAGCGGUAUCUCAGAUCCUCACGCUUUUUCCGUGGUACUACUGCUUCCAGUUCUCUAAACAUUUUAGAUGAUGAUUAUAAUGGACAAGCCAAGUGUAUGCUGGAAAAAGUUGGAAAUUGGAAUUUUGAUAUCUUUCUAUUUGAUAGACUAACAAAUGGAAAUAGUCUAGUAAGUUUAACCUUUCAUUUAUUUAGUCUUCAUGGAUUAAUUGAGUACUUCCAUUUAGAUAUGAUGAAACUUCGUAGAUUUUUAGUUAUGAUUCAAGAAGAUUACCACAGUCAAAAUCCUUAUCAUAAUGCAGUCCAUGCUGCAGAUGUUACUCAGGCCAUGCACUGUUACUUAAAGGAACCUAAGCUUGCCAAUUCUGUAACUCCUUGGGAUAUCUUGCUGAGCUUAAUUGCAGCUGCCACUCAUGAUCUGGAUCAUCCAGGUGUUAAUCAACCUUUCCUUAUUAAAACUAACCAUUACUUGGCAACUUUAUACAAGAAUACCUCAGUACUGGAAAAUCACCACUGGAGAUCUGCAGUGGGCUUAUUGAGAGAAUCCGGUUUAUUCUCACAUUUGCCAUUAGAAAGAAGGCAACAAAUGGAGACUCAGAUAGGUGCUUUGAUACUGGCCACAGAUAUCAGUCGUCAGAACGAGUACCUGUCAUUGUUUAGGUCCCAUUUGGAUAGAGGUGACUUGUGCCUAGAAGAUGCCAGACAUAGGCAUUUGGUUUUGCAGAUGGCUUUGAAAUGUGCUGAUAUCUGUAACCCUUGUCGGACCUGGGAAUUAAGCAAACAAUGGAGUGAAAAAGUAACAGAAGAAUUCUUCCACCAAGGAGAUAUAGAAAAAAAGUAUCAUUUGAGUGUGAGUCCACUUUGUGAUCGUCAGACUGAAUCUAUUGCCAACAUCCAGAUUGGUUUUAUGACUUACCUAGUGGAGCCGUUAUUUACAGAAUGGGCCAGGUUUUCAGACACAAGGCUAUCCCAGACAAUGCUUGGACAUGUGGGACUGAAUAAGGCCAGCUGGAAGGGGCUGCAGAGAGAGCAGUCCAGCAGCGAGGAUGCCGAUGCCGCAUUUGAGUUGAACUCAAAGUUAUUACCUCAGGAAAACCAGUUAUCAUAACCCCUGAACCAGUGGGACAGACUGCCUCCUGGAGGUUUUUAGUAAUGUGAAACGGGGUCUUGAGGCAAAUCUUCUUGAGAAGCCAAAUUAUGAACAGCCGGUUCACUUGGUGAGCAUGGAUUCUGAGCAAGGGAAGCAAGUUGCCUCAUGCCUCCAUCUCCUUAUGGAGAUAGUCCUGCUGAUAUUCAUGUUUGUGGACCAGGGUACCCUCUUCCCCUGGAAGAUGCUAGAGAUUCUCUGCCAGUAGUUACUUCUCCACAUUAGCUUCUGAUUGGCAACUCCAUUAGAUGUCAUUGCCUUCAACAUUGUUUCAGUUGAGCUUACCUAGGCUCCGUUCUACCUGUGUGUGCUUUCUUCUGCUCUGAUCAAUUGUUUGUCUUAUAGUUUAAUACUCAAAAGAUUAGCUUACAGUUUCCACAUUCUCAGGGGGACACCUUGGUGUUGCUUCCAUUUUCCUAUCAGUGUAAUAAAUCCAUUCAAAAGUCAUGUUUUGUUAUGUAUAUGUGGGAAACACCUUUUAUAGCCCUGCUUUUUAAAUGGAGCAUAUGUUCCUUGAACAUUGAAUUUUGUAGAAAAUUUUGAGGAUACAAAUAUUAAGAUCACAUUUUUUAAAAAUAAGCAAAUAUGGAACAAUGUAAAGUCCACAUGAAUUUUUAAGAUAAAAUAGGAGACUUUAAAGAAUUGUUAAGCAUGUAACAGCCCUUUCAGGCUCUUGGCCUAAUACUUCACUGGUGAGGGAAUCUAUUCUUUAUGGAUUAAGGACCUUGGAAAGCAAAUCUUGACAAGUCCCAGCUUAACGACAAAAAUUGGUUCCUGAUCAGUAUUUGUACUCACUGUAAAUGUGAUGGUUUGUAAUGAUCCUCUUUGUAUAAAUAGUAACAAUUACAUUUUAUGUCCUUUGCAAACACGGGAAAUAUCCUUGUACCUGGUGUACAGGUUAGAGGUGCUAGUAACUCCUUCAAGAUUCCAAAAAGGGUCUCUUUUUUCCACAAUGCUUUCUUGGCUUUUAUUAAGCUUUCUAUUUUCUUAAAACUUUAAAAUUUUCACAUCAGAAGUUUCCAGUGUCUCCAAACAUCUAUAAAUAUUUUAAUGUAUAAACUUUGUUUAAAUUCCCUAUCAGUACCUGCUGAUUGAGAAAAGACACAAUUACCAAUAAUAACUAAUAUGAAUUAAUAUUGCUUUUAAGGAAAUAUGCAUACUAGUCCCUACAGCAUCAACAUACAUUUAAAAUAUAGUAGAACAGACAUGUGCAGCCACUUCCUGUCAAGGUCCUAAAGAUGACCUGUCAUUUCAAAAACCCUGAAGGGUCCAUGGUCUAAAGGUGGGGGGCGAAUUGACAAAGGGCAUAUAAUGGGUCUCUAUCUUCCUGGUUCCUCUGCUUAGCAUAGGGCUGGUAUAAAUUGGACUAUCAGUAAAUAUUUGUUGAACAAAUUAAUGUUGAAUUAAUGUUCCCUUUUUACCUAUCAGAUUAUCACUAAGAGAAAUUAUACUGAAACUAGUCUGUUUGUGCUGAAGUCAUGUGGUAAGCAAUAUCUGAGUUCCUGUUGUGUACAGAGCAUGGCACUGAAUGUAAUAAAAGGGGUUUUAAAAUUGAAAACCAUGGUCUCUGUUCUCCAAGUGUUUGGGUGACAAAAUAAUGUAUGAAGUGUUUAUCAUGUUUAUCUAUAUCAUUCAAAAUGAGCAAAGUGUUGAGAAUGGAUGGUGAAAAUGACAUCAUUUCUAGUAAAUCCUAUGUAUAGCUGUUAAUAUCUGAAUCAUUUGGCUUCCACAUUUGGUUCUAAAACAGUUUUAAAUAUCCAAUGUACUUUUAGUAAAAUUCUUUUUUAUCAAUUACAUCUUAAAAUCUAUACUGACACUUUUAAGUUGUCCUGAAACCAAUCUUAGUCUGGUGGGUUGGCAGAGGAAGAAAAACAACCCUGUUUUUAGUAUUUGAUUUCUUGCUGGCUAUUAUUUAAGACUGAAACAAAGUGACUUAGUCUAUUGUAGCUAUUCAUUGAUCCCAGUCUCUAUUAAAAGAAUUCCAUCUUGUAUUUAUCUUUAAGCUCUGCAUCUAAGAUUUUUUUUUAACAUAAAAUUUGUAUUUCUUCAUUUAUUGGGCUAUAUUCUCUAAAAAAAAAAAUCAGGAAACAAAUGAUAUCACAAGUCCCUUUGCCUUAGCUGAAUUUUAUGAAAAUUACAUAUUUGUUUAUACACACACAACAUAAAUUUUGAAGGAAAUGCCAUAAAGAAGUGCACUUGUUUUAAUUUGCUCAGGUUGCUAUCAAAAAGAACCAUAGACGGGGUGACUUAAAAACAACAGGUAUUCAUUUUUCAUGGCUUUGGAGGGUGGAAGUCUAAAAUCAGGGUGCCAGAAUGGUUGGGUUCUGGUGAAGGCCUUCUUCCUGGUUACAUCCUCAGGUGGCCAAGAGAGGGCUAGCUCCCUCUUCUAUAAGACCACCAAUUCCAUCAUGAAGUCUUUGCCCUGGGACCUAAUUACCUCCAACGGUUCCACUCCUAAUACCAUCCUAUUUAAAGGUUAGGGUUUCAACACAAGGAUGAAGGGAGGAUGUUACACGUGCACUUAAUAACUAACCUUAAAGUUCCUAGGUGUAGAGCUUGGGGGUAUGUCUCAGUGAUAGGACACUUGUUUAGCAUGUGCAAGGCCCUAUGAUCAAUUUCCUGCACCACACACACUAUAAAAAUUACUAGGUGAACUAUUUUAGAAAACAACUGGGAUUUCCCCUAAGAAUCAUCACAAGAUGAGGGUUAGGUUUUUCUAUUACAGGGCACAGGGACUCAGAUUAAACGGGAGGAAACUGGGAGCUCUAAUCAUGAGGAUUUAUGUGGAUGAAAAUAAUGGAGAUCACUCCUAAGGCCAUGCCUUAGGAAACAGAACCUGAGAUGUGAUCAUUCUGAGACAGAGCUGCUUUCUCCCGUACUCUUGGCUACUGUUUCUCUUCCAGCUCUCUCUUUUGCAGUCUCUGUUUAAGGUAGCAGUAUAACAUGAUUUUUAAAAAGCAUUAUUUCUGUAGCUUAUAAGACUUGGGUUUGAUUCCUUUGGUAAGUUACCAUAUCUUUUGAGUGAUUUCCUACCCUGUAAAAUGUCUUGUUUAAAAGUAAAAUCAUGUAUUGACACUUUUGAGAGUGCUGAAUCAAUGCUACUAUGAAUAUGCUUCCUAAGUCAUUUCCUCAAAAUCGUUGCAUAAAAUUCCUCAUAGGUAUAGCUGUACCUCAUUAGUAUCCUUAUUUAAGCUCCUGGUACUACCUACCUUGCUCUCUUAGGUUUCUUAUUCAGCUUCCUGGGGAAGAAUCUAAUUAGAAUACCUACUGAGGCCGUGUCCCUGGGCACAGUGUAUGCGUUAUUAGGUAUUCUGCCCUGCAAAAGGGGAAGGACAAGGACCAUCAAUUUGAAUCCCUCCCCCAUUAGCUCCCAUGUGCUACUGUACCCCACUUGCUAACACCAGUAUUUGAAAAUGACUUUCUGACAGAACUCAAGUUCUCAUGUUUUUCACCUUUAAGAUGAUACCAGAAACUGUUUCUGGUUUCAUCUUCUUUCAUCUUUUGAUAAAAAGCAUGUCUGACCAAUGAGGAGGGAUGGCCAUAUUAGGCAACAAUGAUAGUGGUUCCUUGUGCCUUUGGUAAAAAACCCUUGAUUUCUUUCCAAAUUAAGGCUUUUCCAGUUGUGAAGAAAAAGGAUGUCUGUGUGACAUGCAUUUGGUAUGGAAUAGGAAGCAUUAUUUGGGUUAUCUUAACAACUGCUCUCUUGAGAAUAUCUAAAUGACACUCAUGUUCUACGCUAAUCUUACAGGAGUCAUCUCACCUUUUCAAGAGGCUGGAGAAGCUGCCAAAGAGAAAAACGUGAGAAGUUCCAGCUGUAGGAACAUUAAGUCUUUACGAAGUGAACUAAGGACAACAGUCCCCAGAGGGACCUCUGCAAGAUUUCUGGGUGCUUGCUUGGUUACGCUAUUUUUAUUAUCCUGUCUUCAAGAAAGAGUAUUAAGGUCAAGGAAGAGCUAGGUUACAAGGUUUCCAAGAGAAGUCUAAGAAGAAUCUUAAGAGAUUCAAGACAUUCGCUCAGAAGAAGGAUGAACCUAUAAAACAAGAGGUCCUUGUAAUGAGAGUUUGUGAGCAGUAUUGCAACAGUCUUACUAUGAAACUGACUGUCAUUCAGCCUGGCAGUCUCAGAGCUGCUUCUGUUGGAUGAACCCUGAAAGAAUUUCUUGUGCCAUGUUCUAUUCCCAGAGAACUAUUUUUGGAGAAGUUAUCAGAACAAUAUUUUUUCCAAA